rnacentral:lncRNA from 1 species
AUGAACAGAGUCAACAGGAGAGGACACAACGAGCAGCUUUUCGUUGGUCAUCUGAAGCUGAAGGAUUUGAAGGAGCAAGACGGUUUGAACAACCGGUACCUCUUCAAAGACCACAUCCCAGCGUACCCCCGACCAGAGUUUCAUGUGUCUCAUCUGAAACACGACACUGACAGAGUGGGAUUACGUGGGAUCAGGAGGGACGGUGGCUUCAGGAACCCGGCUGAUGGCUCUCUGCUGUGGUGGAGUCUGGUUGUGGGAUCUGAUGAGAUAAGGUCAGCUGAGAGGAGGCUCCUGGAGACCACCUACCCAGACCGGACAGAGGAGCAGGCCCAGAAGCAGCAGAGCUUCCUGGAGAAGUUUGCAACCUCCCCAGUCUUCAUGGAGUCCUCCAGGCUGGGCUCGUACCGCUUCACCUUCCCCCUGGAGGAGGUUCUGAAGGCCUACAGAGACCAGUUUUGUUCCGGUGCUCAGCCCGUCAUGAGGGUGUUCAGGACCGUCCUGUACAAACAGGAAGUGAUGUAUGCGGUGCUGGUCCACAGCCCGGCCAAUCAGCAGCUGUUCUCAGACCUUCCUCUGCUGACUGACGACCCAAACUCUGUGUGCACUUACAGAGACGGACACUUCAUCUGGAGGUCUGAGGCCAUGUGUGAGACACACAGGUUCUGCAGUUUGAUGGCGACCGACUGA